GUGGGGAAUAUUGGACAAUGGGCGCAAGCCUGAUCCAGCCAUGCCGCGUGAGUGAUGAAGGCCUUAGGGUUGUAAAGCUCUUUCAGUAGGGAAGAUAAUGACGGUACCUACAGAAGAAGCCCCGGCUAACUUCGUGCCAGCAGCCGCGGUAAUACGAAGGGGGCUAGCGUUGUUCGGAUUUACUGGGCGUAAAGCGCACGUAGGCGGUUUGUUAAGUCAGGGGUGAAAUCCCACAGCUCAACUGUGGAACUGCCCUUGAUACUGGCAAGCUAGAGUCCGGAAGAGGUGAGUGGAACUCCUAGUGUAGAGGUGGAAUUCGUAGAUAUUAGGAAGAACACCAGUGGCGAAGGCGGCUCACUGGUCCGGUACUGACGCUGAGGUGCGAAAGCGUGGGGAGCAAACAGGAUUAGAAACCCGGGUAGUCC
rnacentral:rRNA from 1 species